GAGGGUGACUAGUGACAGAGUGAGAGAGAGGGUGACUAGUGACAGAGUGAGGAAGGGGGUGACACAGUGACAGAGUGAGGGAGGGGGUGACUAGUGACAGAGUGAAGGAGGUGGUGACUGUCACUAGUCACACCCUUCCCUCCCUCACUCUAUCACUAGUCACCACCUCCCUCUGUCACUACUCCCUCCCUCCUUCUGUCACUAGUCACCCCCUCCCUCACUGUGUCACCUGUCACCCCCUCACUCUGUCACUAGUCACCCCCUCACUCUGUCACUAGUCACCCCCUCACUCUAGUGA